rnacentral:lncRNA from 1 species
UCUGGGCACUACAUUUAAGUUGGAGUGGACAAACAAGAUACAACUCAGGAACAGCCAAAUGGAAGAGAUCCAGGGGAUAAAGCAUGAGGGAAGGGGGCAGCAGUUUCUCACCCUCUCCAGGAGUGCCACCCUCCCAGCACCUCCCUGCGUUCAUCACUUGGCCCAACUGGAUAAUCCAGGAAAAUCUUCACUCUCAGGAUCCUUAGCUUCUUCACAUCUGCACAUAAGAGAUAGGGCUUCAACAUGUUGUCUGGGCUGUUGAACUCCUAAACUCAAGUGAUCUUCCUGCCUCAACCUCCCAAAGUGCUGGGAUUAUAGUCAUGAUCUGGCUAGCACUUUUUAUAAUAGCCAAAAAUGUGGAAGCAGCCCAACUAUGCAUUGACUGGUGAGUGGAUAAACAAAAUACACACACACACACGCGCGUGCGCACACACACACAAUGAAAUAUGGUUUAGCCUUAAAAAGGAAGGAAAUUCUGAUACAUGCUACAAUAUGAAUGAACCAUGGUGACAUUAUGCUAAAUGAAAUAAGCCAGUCACAAAAAGACACACAGUACAAUUCUGCUUAGAGCAGUCAAAUUCACAGGGACAGAAUGGUAAUUUCCAGGAGCUAGGGGGAAUGGGGAG